UACGUAGGUGGCAAGCGUUGUCCGGAUUUACUGGGCGUAAAGGGCGUGCAGGCGGCCUGCUAAGUCGAACGUGAAAUCCCCGGGCUCAACCCGGGAACUGCGUCCGAUACUGGCAGGCUUGAAUCCGGGAGAGGGAUGCGGAAUUCCAGGUGUAGCGGUGAAAUGCGUAGAUAUCUGGAGGAACACCGGUGGCGAAGGCGGCGUCCUGGACCAAUACUGACACUGAGGAGCGAAAGCCAGGGGAGCAAACGGG
rnacentral:rRNA from 1 species